GUGUGUGAGCUGCAGUGUUGCGCAGUUUUCUGAUACUUGCACACAGCUCGCGUUUCUUCUUGAAACAAAGUUUUUGAUCAGCGGCUUCGUGUUUCAGCAUCACUGUGAUGUCAGACUGUGACACUGAAUUAUCGCAUCGCGCAGUUUACAACCGUAACGAAAAGUCAGAGCAUAAUAAUCGUUAGCAGUGAAAACGGAGCAGCAGAUGUAACCUGAGUUGUUACCUGUGCAGCAGCAGAGGCGGGGGCAAGUACAUCGGCGCUCUGUCUGCGGGACACACUGGAUACAGGUAAUAGACAUCUGGCACGUUGAUGAACGGAGCAACACCCGAAUCUUGGAACAGCUGAUGUUUGCUGGAGCCACAGCUGUAAAGCUGCUGGUCAUGAUGUCGGUCUGGAUAUGUGGUGAGAGGGAAACAUGCAGAUGAAACCAGGAGAUGUCCUUACUGAAUCAUCAGAGCUGAACAGGGGAGAUGGGGAUUCUUAGAUUAAACCACUCCAAGAAGCAGCAGAAAACAGUCAGUGACCUGAAGAAGGGAGCGCUGAAGCUGUUUCCCAAGAAAGGCUAUCUUAUGGGUGAAGUCCGGCUGAUUGUCUCUGGGAAGCCGCUGGAUGAUGACUCUGCAUCUCUGUCUGAAUAUGGGAUCAAACCCUCGUCUGUGGUGCAGAUGGUGGCGAAGGUCCACGGAGGCUGACAGACAUCAUCGUCGAUGCACUCGACUGCAUCCACAAGACUCACAGCAGGACUUAAAUAUGAGACCCCAAAGGACAAAAUCCGUCAUCUUUAACUCUUUUAAGACUUGUCCCAUACCUGCUUAGAGUUCAGCACUAAUUAAUUAUCAUGAGCUGUAAAUGAUGAAUAAUUGGGAUGUAAUAAUGUAUUUUGUGUUUAUUUUGUGCUUGUGUUUAUUUCCCUGCUAAGAUGUGUAACUUGCUAUUUGUUGGUUUUUCAAAAAUAACUUUAAAUGUAUAUAAUUUUUCCCAAGAAAGUCAUAUUGAGAUAUU